GACGGGGCCCGCACAAGCGGUGGAGCAUGUGGUUUAAUUCGACGCAACGCGAAGAACUUACCAGGGCUUGACAUCCCCUGACCGCGUAUGAAAGUACGUUUUCACCUCGGGUGACAGGGAGACAGGUGGUGCAUGGUUGUCGUCAACUCGUGUCGUGAGAUGUUGGGUUAAGUCCCCGCAACCGAGCCGCAACCCCUACGUUUAGUUGCUAACGCGUGAAGGCGAGCACUCUAGACGAACUGCCGUUGACAAAACGGAGGAAGGUGGGAUGACGUCAAAUCAUCAUGCCCCUUAUGUUCUGGGCUACACACGUGCUACAAUGGCCGGUACAGACGGACGCAAAGCCGCGAGGUGGAGCAAAUCCUAAAAAGCCGGUCUCAGUUCGGAUUGCAGGCUGCAAUUCGCCUGCAUGAAGUCGGAAUCGCUAGUAAUCGCAGGUCAGCAUACUGCGGUGAAUACGUUCCCGGGCCUU
rnacentral:rRNA from 1 species